UUUCCGUAGGUGAACCUGCGGAAGGAUCAUUAUCGUAAAACCGAGGUGCGAGGGCUGUCGCUGACCUUUUCGGUCGUGCACGCCCGAGCGCUCUCACACAAUCCAUCUCACCCCUUGUGCACCACCGCGUGGGUCCCUUUCUGGCCCGUCCGGAGGGGGGCUCGCGUUUUCACACAAACUUGAAGUAGUGUAGAAUGUCCUUUUUUUGCGAUAACACGCAAUCAAUACAACUUUCAACAACGGAUCUCUUGGCUCUC
rnacentral:misc_RNA from 1 species